GCUGCUGUGUCUUAUGUUCUGUUUCCUGGUGUCAAAAUAGACAUAGUCAACAACACAAAAUUGCAGGGUUUUUUUUUUACAUUAACAAAAAUGUUUUGUUGGCAUAUAAAAGACAAGCAACAGUCUGGUAGAACAUAAAAAGAAGAAAUGAUAAAAAUUACAGUACCUAGCUCAAACUUUAGAUAAAGAAAAAUCUAUGAUAGAGAUUGGAGGUACCAUUGACAAAAUUAAAUCCCCUGCAAUCACAUUUUUCUGCACGAUCGUGAAAUUAAGUACUUGCGAAAUGUGCUAAGAAAAUAUCUGCAAAAAUUAAGACACUCGAAAAUAAAGAAGAAUAAGGUAAAAUGACCCUAUGGUGGCAAGCGACCACAUUAUCACAUUAUUAUCGCAAUGUAGUUUCCAUAUAACUGCACACGAACGCAGGAUUCUGAUCUCACCAUGCCGAUCCAGGAGAGAAUCUUUACAUGAUUGAAUUACUCAUACCUUUGGUUCCAUUUUACGAAGAAAUCUCCAAGACCUUUUCACAGACUUUGAUGGACUCUUCAAUCAUUCUACCAGUCAAGCACAAUAUCCACUAGACUGACCCCAUUUCAGAAGUUGAAUAGAAGUUGUGGUUUACUUUCGCGAGUGAUUCGACACGGUUGACAUACACAACUCGUCUCUCGCAAAUAUCUCUCGAUUACGCAAUAGAAUUGAGGAAAUAAGAUACUCGGAUGAGACCCCUGACUUCUAGCGGAGUCCUUUACUUGUCUGGACGGGUUAUAACAACCUUAUCUAUACCUUUUUUCUCAAGAGAAAGUCCAACAUUACAGUUAGCUUCAGAUUCCUUUCUUCUCCCAUCUCCACGGAUUUUAAGGCUAGUUUUUAGACAUGAACUGUAGAAAUGGUCUGAUAGCCAAGCAUCUCCAGAUUGCUCAAAGUACUGAGCUAGUGCUAACAGACUGCUGUACACAUGGUCCAUUUUACCUGUUGAAGGAAAUAUGGGUCAAAAUAGUGGUCAUUUUUUUCAAAAAAUGGAGAUCUCCCACCUUGCUUCAUCUUGUUUUUAUUUGGUGGUUUAAAAUUGGAAUAUUUGAUCCAAAACCACAAUGGACACAUAUAGUAAUUCAAGCUAUAAGCUUGACACGCAAGAAACCUACCUCAACUACUGGAAUGCAGCAUUUGCCUUUUACAUUUGCAUCAAACGAAGCGUGCCCAUCAUGAGGGUAGUUGAGGUACGUUUCCAUUCGAGUACAUGUGCAUGCUUAUAGCUGGAAUGACCUAUUAGUCACAGCUCUAGCAUACAGUGGCGUAGCCAGGAUUUUUAACAGGAGGGGGCCCAAAAGGCCCAGUGAAGGCAUUUGCUCCUGUAUUUAAAAUAAUGACUCAUACAUUUACUGUAUUUUUGGCUGCUAGAAGGGGGGGCCCGGGCCCCCUGGGCCAUGCUCCUGGCUAAGCCCCUGGCAUACCUCUUCUUUUAGCUGCUUCAGCUGUGGUCAGGUGGUACUUUAGCUGGUCCAGCUUGUCGGCAUCCUCCUCUAGUAAUACCUGGUUGGCCAGGCCACUAUCUGGACCAAGCCGUUCCUGUUCCUCCCGCUGUUGUCUCAUCAGGUUAAACAGCUCACAGAAUGACUGGUGGAAGCCAUCACGAAGCAUGUCCAGGCAUAGGUUAUGCUCAUAUGUAUUGCGAUACCUGACAAUAGAUCAAAAUUCAGCUGUUUGUCAAAAUAA